CGAUGAUCUAGCUGUGCCGUCGAGGUCGCUGCAAGGUUCGAUAGUCCUAGUGCAGACAUCAGUGCUGGACCCUCCGUGUGGUCAGUGGCUUUGUAGUGCUUAUCAUCUUUAGUGAUCCAGAGAGUUCCUGGGGUCGCCCAUUUUUAGGCAACUCCUGCCGCUUGGAGUUGUUUGGUGAUUGGGUGCAUACUUUUGCGCCAUACUAGUGUGGCCCUGCUCAAGUCCUGAAAAAAGGAGAGUUUGCAUUCUUCGAAGUCAAAAGGGGUCUUCCCUUGUAUAGCUGCCAUUAGCCCCAGUUUGUCAGAUAUUGAUUGGCAUCUUAGUACUAUGUCCCGUGGAGCUGAGGUGGGUGUUUGUGGGGAUUUGGCUAUCCUAUAAACCCCAUCAAACUGAAAUGUUUUAGUUUGUCUUGUUGGUAGGAGUGUGGCCACAAGGCAUCUAGUGAAGUGUGGCAGUUCUUCCAGCGUUACUGACUCAGGUACCCCUCGGAUUUUGUUAUUUUU